GGCCCGUUAGUCAAGCGGUUAAGACGUCGGCCUCUCACGCCGAAAACAUGGGUUCGAUUCCCGUACGGGUCACCA
rnacentral:tRNA from 2 species